AUCGCUUCUCGGCCUUUUGGCUAAGAUCAAGUGUAGUAUAAAGUCUGGCCUCCCCUUGGUUCCUUUCCUGUUAUUAAUAUUAAGGACUAGCUAGUUAUGAUGGUAAGAUGCAUGCCAAGAACUUGGCAGUUGGAUUUAGCAAGUGAAACUUCAGAAUUGCAGGUAAUACUGCCCGUACUCUUGUUAUUUCCUUUAAAAAGUUCGUAGUCUUU
rnacentral:snRNA from 1 species